UACAGAGGUCUCAAGCGUUGUUCGGAUUCAUUGGGCGUAAAGGGCGCGUAGGCGGCGGGGUCAGUCGGGUGUGAAAUCUUGGGGCUUAACCCCGAAACGGCACUCGAAACUGCCCGGCUGGAGGGCCGGAGAGGAGAUCGGAAUUCACGGUGUAGCAGUGAAAUGCGUAGAGAUCGUGAGGAAGACCCGUGGCGAAGGCGGAUCUCUGGACGGCUAACUGACGCUGAGGCGCGAAGGCCAGGGGAGCAAACGGG
rnacentral:rRNA from 1 species